rnacentral:rRNA from 1 species
UACGGGGGGGGCAAGGCGUUGUUCGGAAUUACUGGGCGUAAAGGGCUCGUAGGCGGCCAACUAAGUCAGACGUGAAAUCCCGUCGGCUUAACCGGGGAACUGCGUCUGAUACUGGAUGGCUUGAGUUGGGAGAGGGAGUGCGGAAUUCCGGGUGUAGUGGUGGAAUGCGUAGAGAGUCCGGAGGAACACCAGCGGCGAAGGCGGCAUCCUGGACUGGUCCUGACACUCAGGAGCGAAAGCGUGGGGAGCGAGUCGG